GCCCGCUCAAGAAACUCAAAGGAAGUUCGACGGGGGCCCCGCACGAAGCGGUGGAGCAUGUGGUUUAAUUCGAUGAUACGCGAGGAACCUUACCUGGGCUCAAAUGUAUGUUGACGUAUUCUGAAAGGGAUACUUCUUCGGACAAUAUACAAGGUGCUGCAUGGUUGUCGUCAGCUCGUGCCGUGAGGUGUCGGGUUAAGUCCCAUAACGAGCGCAACCCCUAUCAUUAGUUGCCAUCAGGUCAAGCUGGGGACUCUAAUGAAACUGCCUACGCAAGUAGUGAGGAAGGUGGGGAUGACGUCAAAUCAGCACGGCCCUUACGUCCAGGGCUACACACGUGCUACAAUGGCCGAUACAGAGGGCAGCUACCUGGUGACAGGAUGCAAAUCUCCAAAGUCGGUCUCAGUUCGGAUCGGAGUCUGCAACCCGACUCCGUGAAGUUGGAAUCGCUAGUAAUCGCGCAUCAGCAUGGCGCGGUGAAUACGUUCCCGGGCCUU
rnacentral:rRNA from 1 species